UAAUACGUAGGGACCAAGCGUUGUCCGGAUUUAUUGGGCGUAAAGAGCUCGUAGGCGGCCCUCCACGUCGGAUGUGAAAGCUCAGGGCUCAACCCUGGGACGCCAUUCGAUACGGGAAGGCUAGAGGUAGGUAGGGGAAAGUGGAAUUCCUGGUGUAGCGGUGAAAUGCGCAGAUAUCAGGAGGAACACCGGUGGCGAAGGCGGCUUUCUGGGCCUUACCUGACGCUGAGGAGCGAAAGCUGGGGGAGCGAACAGGAUUAGAUACCCUGGUAGUCCCAGCCGUAAACGUUGAGUGCUAGGUGUGGGGAGGUCUUCAACCCUCUCUGUGCCGCAGCUAACGCAUUAAGCACUCCGCCUGGGGAGUACGGCCGCAAGGCUA
rnacentral:rRNA from 1 species